GGGCAUGUAGCUCAGUGGUAGAGUAUGCGCUUCGCAGGUUUAUUUUGUGAUUCUGCGUGUGGCCAUCGGUUCGACUCCGGUCUUGUCCA